rnacentral:rRNA from 1 species
UACGGGGGGGGCAAGCGUUGUUCGGAAUUACUGGGCGUAAAGGGCUCGUAGGCGGCCAACUAAGUCCGACGUGAAAUCCCCAGGCUUAACCUGGGAACUGCGUCGGAUACUGGAUGGCUUGAAUUCGGGAGAGGGAUGCAGAAUUCCAGGUGUAGCGGUGAAAUGCGUAGAUAUCUGGAGGAAUACCGGUGGCGAAGGCGGCAUCCUGGACCGACAUUGACGCUGAGGAGCGAAGCUAGGGGAGCAAACGGG